GAGGGAGGGAGGAGCAGUAGCAGUGGUGCGUGGGUGGAUGCUGAGCACAGCCGGUUUGAACCAGUCUGAUGCUGAUAGUGACUCUGGAUGACGGACCAGUUCUAGGAACACAAAGGGCCUAUGCUGUUGACUUAUGGAACCGGUUUCAAAAAACACCAGGGAGCAGAGCGCGAGUGAGUGGGCGUCUGAUGCAGUGCGUUGUCCGACGGCCAUUUGUGGGGGCCACCAUCUGAUUUGAAGACACAGCAUCGAUCCAAUGACGCCACUUGCCUGCGGCGCGUCCUCACCCCGUAGGCAUCAGCCACAACGCGUGCGGGCCUUAGGGCCGCGCACAUUCCACAGCGGGCCGCUCGUCGAAGCGGGAGAAAACCAGGUGACUCUUACCCUACAAGCGGCAGCCACCAGGAAGGUCAGACGCGGAGAACGGCGGAGAGGGGAGGAGGGAAGGAGAACCUCCUGUGCACGGUCACACACUCAAGGUGUGCGCGGUGAAUGAUUUGUCAUUGGCACAGGAACUGGCUUCCCUUAGUGUGUUGUGUAUGUACAGGUGCUGCGCGUUUGAGGCAGUGAUGUAUGAUGAGGGCUUUAGGUGAGGCAAGGUGAGAGCGUAAGGCUGGAGGGGGAUCUGUAGAGAGCAACAAGGGCCAACUGUAGGCCAAGGCUAACGUUUCGAUUGCAUAACGUUUGUCUUAAUCCUUUCAUUAAUUAGUAAGUCCCCGUUGACUGAAGAGCUAGUGAUUGGGGCGGGCAAAAGCCAAUACUGAUUGAUUGGUUGAUUUGAUUGAGUCAUUCAGAAAAUAUGCAAUACGUGACUGAACAAAAACCCAGGACAAAGACGAGUGUCUCACACAUCUGCUCAUUCACUGAGCCCAACCUUUACAUCCUAGUCUAACCCUUCUUACUAACUCCACACACCACAAAGGCAUGGCAGACAUUUCAUCCAAAGUGACAUUCAAAUAGUACAUGUAGCCUACGGUGUUUAAGUGCUGCAGAUAAUCAAGGACAAGAAGGGUGUGUAGUCCAAGCGGAAUUUCACGGGUUAGUGAGGGAAAAAAACCGUCUGAAUGGUUUUACUCUACAAAUAUUCAGUACUUUCCUAAAAAGUAAGAAAAAGUGUGGCAAUUUGGCAGUAUUCAACACUGGAAAAGUCUGGACUGAAGUAGUUAGCUGGUCUCCAUCUCUAACGACUUAUUCAAAACAAUCCUCCACUGAGACAAUGAAGGGACAUCUUCGGUGCGAUAGCCUACCACCUCCUGGUGGCCAUAGUUGUAACUACAACAUCUACCAGAGAUUCUAGGUAGUUUCAUUAGCCAAAUAGUUUAGCUGUCUUCUAGGAAAAGCAGAGAUCCAAUAGACUGACACCUUAGAAGCCAAUCAACUUUCCACGAAAGAGGCAUAUCUUCAGGGUUCUCAAGACUUCCAGCAGGGUGUUUGGUGUGGCUGUUGAUAACAUUUAAACGACUAUCCAUAGUAUCAUUUUUAUCCAUCACAGCCUAUAUUUUUCAAAUAAUGUAGCUAGCCUAUAAGUCACAUUUUGUUGAUAUAUACAGCUAGCCAUUUGUUCCUAGUUAUGAAGAUCUAUUGGUCCUACCUAUGGUCAGAAACCCAAGAUCUGAGGUAAGCAUCCGUCCGUAAAAAAAAAAAAAACGUGGCUUUCCUGAAAAAUGUGAGGAUGGGGUAAUCCGAAUGUUCCUGGAAAGAGCUAUGACUUCACAGGGAAAACCUGACAAGGCCCACCACGAGGGAAGACAAACAAGGAGGGAGCAGCCUAAGGUCAAGGUCGAGUUCACAAGGCUGAUUAGAUAAACAAACCUGAUAACCGGCACAUCACUUUUAAAAACAACAACCCCAUAAAACCUGAAGACAUGAACCUGUUACAGCACAAGGGCGACGCAGGAAGUCCAGGUGGAGACUGUAGGUGAGGCCUCGUCCCUUUUGAUCUGAUGACAACUUGGGUCUCAUUUACUUAAGCAAAGCUAACCAGUGUGACACUAAAGACAGACGUUCUCCAGACACAGACGUUCUCCAGACACAGACGUUCUCCAGACACAGACGUUCUCCAGACACAGACGUUCUUCAGACAGCACUCCUCACUCUGGGAAAGUAUUCGACAAUUCCACAGCUCAUUUCCAAAGACUGUUCCUCUCCCUCCCCUUUCUCUUGGUAUGUUUACGGUCUAUCGAUAUGAAAUGUAAGUGUACAUAGCAUAUCUAUUCCACUCCAUGUGGUCCUGAAUGCCCUGAACAGUGAGUCUCUCUUUAUCUCUGUGCGUCAUAUCAAUUUCACGCAGCCAUUUGAAUUAAUGCAAUGACAAUUUUUCACCAUGUGGGAAAAAAUUAAAAAUGAGGCUGAAGAUGCUUAACAAUAAAGGAAAGAAAUUCACCGCGCAACAUUUGUCCAACAUUAAGCCUAAUCCUGAAUCGGCUCUAUAGCACACGUUACAUCUACAGGCAGACCAGGUGUUCAAUUUGAAGUGACAUCGGCAUUAAAGGCAUCGAAAACAGCCGGCAAAACGGUCCAUUCGAAAUCAUCCAAAAUGAACAUGGUGUGUACAUUCUUAGCCACUAGGUGGCACUGUAACAUCAAAGUACGCGACGGCUUCAUACAUCUACUCAUGUCCUUACAGCCUAGGCCUGGGAUCAUUUUCAUGUCAAGUAUGGAGGACUAAAUGUGCCAAAAUUAAAUACAUAAAUAUAUAAAUACAUAAAUUAAUAAAUACUCUUUACAUUUAAAAUGAAAUGCGCAUUUCAUUUUAAAUGUAAAGAGGCGGGACAUAAGCCAUUUGAUAGAACUGUCCUCAUGGAACUGCAGUGUUUUAGGCUUUAUAAAACACAGUUUUUUCCUGAACAUGUUUAAAUGGCCCUAAAACGUAACCUGUAAUGGUUUAUUCCUGGUGUGGAGCUGUAGAACGGUGCUGGCAGCCUGGCACAACCAAGACGCACAAACUUCUCUGACCCUCUACCUGACCAUGCGCUUGCUUCAAUAAACGUGACUGUGAACAGGCCACAUGUUAACAAUAUCAUCACUUAAGAGAUGUCUAUUUAUUUAUUUAAGUAUUUAUUUAUUUAAGUAUUUAUUUAUUUAAUUUUGGCACAUUUAGUCCUCCAUAGUCAAGAGCCAUUUCAUUUUCAAACCAAAUUAGGGUGCAUCGGAAGCCACAAUAGAUGAAAAGCUGGAUUUGAAUUUGAGACAUGCACUGAUAUGACACUGAUAUAGCUGAUUAACAGGUUUAUUAUCAUCCAUCGCAUGAGUCGGUCUAUUCCUCGUUGAAAUGUCUGCAUUCAACUUCGCUUCUUUAAGGUUGUUUAAACAUUUAACCACUUUUUUUUCUUUUCUUUUUUUACUUCUACUUAAACUUUUUUGGGCCCCAAUAGUUAAAUUCAAUGGCAGAGACAACAUUAUUAGUUGGAUUUAAGACAUAUUGUAAAUGUUCCAUUUCAACGAAAUUGACACAGUAGUACCUUUCCAUGAUGCUCAAAAGACGCUAUGGCUGCAUCCCAAAACCUUUAUUUGCAACUAUUAAGUUUUAGGCUACUUAUCAAUUUUAGGCUACUUAUCAAUUUGAGUGCCCCGCAUAAGUGGUCAAGGAGCCACAUGUGGCUCUGGAGCCAUGGGUUACAGACCCCCUGAACUAGAUCUAUCCUCUAAGGCCCUACGUUCCUUUUAGAAAGGUUGACCUGGACACUAUCCAGCCGUCCCCCAUCCUCAGACAGCGUUCACUAAACCUAGGACGACCCAGCCUUACCGUAAGCCCAGCCCUACCGUAAGCCCAGCCCUACCGUAAGCCCAGCCCUACCGUAAGCCCAGCCCUACCGUAAGCCCAGCCCUACCCCCUCGGGUCUGCAGUGGCAGUGGCCACUAGAUGGCAGCAGAAAAGCGCGUGUUCAGGUCCAGUGAGUGACAAGGUUCAAUCGAUGGCUCCAUUACCUCCCAGUCAGCCCCCGGCUGACUCCUGCCCCGCCUGCACACUGACUUACACCUCCGCUGACGGCUCACAUCCUGUCAGUCCUCUAUGCCUGUCGGCAGAAAAAAAAAAAGAUGAUCCCUCCCUAAAAAGAACACUUUGUUGUCAAGGACUUUGGGUCAGCCGGGCGUGCCCGUAACUCCAGGUUUGUAGUGCUAUUACGGUGGCGUUUUGUGGUGGUGAACUUAGGCAGCCAACGUUUCGACAAGAUAUGAUAGCAACCCCUCUCGUCUCUGGCGAGUUUCUGGAAAGUUGGAACGCUUUUGAGACGCUGAGGGUUCAUCCUUGCCGUCUACUUUAACCAUUACGUCGGUCAACUAACAACCCUGGGAAAGAGAGAACUCUGAAAGGAUUGAUUUAUACAGGUUAAUUCAAGAGCAAGAUAGUUGGGUUUAAAGUAAGCCCUACCUACUGUUUGACCAGGCUGACGGGGCCUAAAGCAAACAACAUGUGCACCAAGUCAUGUAGAAACCCUUCUCUGCUGAGUUAUGAAACACAUCCAUCAGAGGUCUGACAGGAGGAAUCAUGCACACAUGCACGCACACACACACACACACACACACACACAGGAAAAGCACCCAAGUGAAAAAG